rnacentral:lncRNA from 1 species
GACACUGCAAAUCCGAUGACAUCCAUAAGAAGGUGCAAAUUUCUGCAAAAGUGAGGCUUCAGAGGAUGACGGUAUCACGUGUCUGUAUCUGAAUUCUCUCUCCAACCCCCACUCCCCAGCCCCGUAUUCUAAUAAACGCUCUCACCUGGAUCAGAAAACAAAUGAGCUCGUGAAUCUCAUCCAGACUCUCAUGGCUCUUUCUCUGACAACUGUAAAUUCACAAGACACUCUGACAGGCAUAUAAAAAUAAGAAUUGCCCUUCUUGAGGGCUUCCAACUGUGUGCUGUGUUCCAGAGAGUAGUACCCUUAUUUCAUGUUUGUAUGAAGGUUUCCAUCUGUGCAUUGACAGAUCUCGGCUAACCCUAAAUGCUGGCACAUGCCAUGAAUCUGUCAUAGAAAUAGGGGAAUUUAGUCACAGGGACCAAAAAUAACUGAUCAUGUCAUUUAAGGAGUCUGCAGGAAAUAGGCAAUUAGACAUACUUUGUACAACCACCCCGAGCCUUUUGAAAAAGUGUCAGGUACCUUAAGUUUGGGGGUGCUUUCCAGCCAUUUGGGAGGCCAAAGCAAGAUUGCUUGUACCUAGGAGUUGGAAGCCAGCACGUAGACCCCCGUCUCUGAAAAGUAUGUAAAGAUAUUUCAGGCAACUGAGAUCUAACCAUAGGAAGAAAUACAUGUUUUACCAGGGAAACAUUAGUAAGUAAUGAACAAUUGAUUUCAGAGGGCUAUGUGUGUGUGUGUGUAUGUGUUUACUUGUGAGCACAGUGUAAAAACACUGUAGCUGUCUUUAAUGCACUUUAACUCCUUGUGAGAAUAGAGAAAGGCUGGAGAAGGCUGGGCAGGUAAUUGACGGCAUGAAGUUAAAGGAUGUAGAGGUGAGUGGUGUAGGGUACUUCAAUGUCUGGAGGCAGCUUAGACUCAAGAAGAAAGGGCUUUGAACAACUGAAAGUGCAGACUCAUGAGCAGGAUUAACCAGGAUGCGGCUAGUAUCAAAGAUCGCGGAGGAGUGAUGUAGGAUGUGGAGGUGGUCCAUGCAGGAAGGCAUCGGAAGAUGCCUCUGCUGUAUAAAAGGAAAAGCGGAAGAUGCUUUUGUUAGCUGAGAGGGAGCUCUGCAGUGUUCACUUCAGGUUUUAGGGAACCCCAGCUGCACGUGAGACUGGGAGACAGCAAAGGGAAGAAUUUGUCACCUGGCUGCUGUGGGACCUCUUCCCUUUACCGGCCUUCAUGUGCACACCUGUGAAGAAACAAUUGGCAGAGACAGCUGACCUGGGUCUUUGCCGCCAACAGUUCUCUCGGCUCUGGAAUCUUUGGCUAUGGCCAAGAUCUCUAGGGCCCUUCCGAGGUUGUCUCAUUGUGUUCUGUGUAGGGUUGCAUGCUCCUUGCCUUUGGUCUUAUUCUUGCCAGAUGGGAUGAUUUUAUUUGUACAUAGAAAGCCCACUGGAGCCAGUGCAAAUACAAAAACAAGUAAUUAAUGUACAGUUCUUUAAAAAGUCCUGAGUGGAUUCCUUCAGGAGUGGCUUGAUCCAUCAUGGCAACUACCCAGUUGUAGCUUUCUUCUUUCUUUUCUCAGUUCUGUCUUCCCAGGGAGGCCUCUUUCUCUCAAAUCUGCUCUUCCUUAGGACAACUGUGUACAGUACUUCUAACCCCGACUUGAAUAGAUAACAUGUCUCCCCCCUAAGUGUUCAGAGGAUAGUGCCUUGGCUCAAGUACCCAUUCUGGAAACAAACGGUAGGGCAAGAAGGGGUUGUGUGUGCACAUUGACUGUGCCCAGGCCACGUGCUCCUGCUUUGGAGUCCAGCCUCAGCUUUGCGCACUGGCUUAACUAGGAAAGACAGAGGAAUGGGUUCUGGGUAGCCAAAAACUAAUUCUGGGAGCCCACCCUCACCCCAGGCUCCAUGAGACCUAUAGGUAAGGGAGGGACAAAGAUUUUGGGCCCAAAUCAAGAGAAGGCCAUGGGACUGAAAAAAAAAAAAAAAAAAAAAAAAGCCAAUCCAGAGAAAUCCAGAGAAGGCCUAGAGAUAUGUAGACACCAGGAGAGCUGUGCCAAGUCUCCCGAGAGUGCCCUUUGUGCCGGAGGCACUGAAUGUAGGACUUAGGAUAAGGCUGAUCCACAGGCCUUGCAGGAGAUCUCGCGGGGGUGGGGGGGGAGGGGGAGUGUGGGGGGUUCGGGGGGGGGGUGGCUGGAGGAGGAUGUCUGCUGGGCUUCCUGCUCUGGAUGACACUAGCUGCCCUCCCCUCCCAUGCAAGCCAUGUCCCCUCUACACCUCAGCACCCAGCCAGAAAACGCCUUUUGUGUUUUCUUGGCAAAACUAGGACCCAGUAAUUAAAGUCCAUAUGCAAAGCUGCUACCUCCAGCGCACCGUGGUCUUUUAAUUAGGAUGUAAUUGGUCAGAGAGGUACCAUCAAACAGUUCCCAGCUUGGCCUACUGCAAGCAGAGUACUUGAAAAGUCCCAGACCGGAGAAGGAUAAUAAAUGCCUUAAGUUCCAUCUGCUGGAAAGGUUUGUUCAAGGUAUACAUUUCUGUUUGGUUACUUUUUUUUUUUAAUUGAAUGAAGCAUUUCUUCAAAUGCUGUAGCAACUAGCAUAGCGUUCUUUGGAGGCAGGAAGGUGAAGAAGUGAAGUAGAAGGUAGCUUAGGACAUGCUUGUAUCCCUGAGGGAAAGAGCAUAGAGCGUAGUGGGCUGGGCAGGGAAGGAGGGAGGUGACAUGGAGGUCGGGUUUGAGUGACACGUCAGGGACUCUGCGGUCAUGUCCUUCCAUGAAAACAGCCCCUGGUUACCUCAGUAGUCUGUUGCCUUUGAGGUGGCUAUGCCCUUGCUGUCGAUCCUUAAGCCUCAACUGGCAUGUGCUGCUGUUCUGGGAGUCUGUCUCGAUGUGACAAAGGAUUUAGAAUUUAUUUUGAUAGACAAGGGUGAGUAGCUGUGGGGGAAGCCGGGAGGGGGACUCAUGGUAGCUCUCAGGAGCUAAGACAGAUUGUAGCACUAAGCCACCUGGUUUUAUUUGACUGAAAUAUCCUGGGAGGGGAAAGACAGAGGAAGGCUGAGUCUCUUCAGGUUUGAGUUGUUCCAUCAGUCCUUUGGGUAAAGUUGGUCUCAAAAUUUAGGGAAAAAAAGGCUUAGGAAAAAUUCUAAGGGCUAUGGAUAUCACUCAGUUCCAUUCCCAGCAUUUAAACCAGGCAUGGUGGCCUAAGCUUGCAGUCUGGGUCGUAGGGAGGUAGAGACAGGGGGAUCAGGAGUUCAAGAUAAUCCUUGGCUGUAUAUCAAGUUUGAGGUCAGCCUGGGCUACAUAAGACCUUAUC